rnacentral:rRNA from 1 species
UUCCUGCUAUGAGUGCACCAGCAGGAGGGAUCAUUACAGAGUUAUCUAACUCCCAAACCCAUGUGAACUUACCUUUGUUGCCUCGGCAGUUGUUGUUGGGCCAGCCUACCCUGGAGCGAGCUACCCUGUAGCGAGCUACCCUGGAACGGCCUACCCUGUAACGACUGCCGGUGGACUACUAAACUCUUGUUAUUUUUAAAGUAAUCUGAGCGUCUUAUUUUAAUAAGUCAAAACUUUCAACAACGGAUCUCUUGGUUCUGGCAUCGAUGAAGAACGCAGCGAAAUGCGAUAAGUAAUGUGAAUUGCAGAAUUCAGUGAAUCAUCGAAUCUUUGAACGCACAUUGCGCCCAUUAGUAUUCUAGUGGGCAUGCCUGUUCGAGCGUCAUUUCAACCCUUAAGCCUAGCUUAGUAUUGGGAAUCGACUGUACUGUCGUUCCUCAAAUUCAACGGCGGAUUUAUAGCAAUCUCUGAACGUAGUAAUUUUUACACCUCGUUUCUGAAAUGCUUUAAACCUCAGCCGCUAAACCCCCAAUUUUCUAUGGUUGACCUCGGAUCAGGUAGGAAUACCCGCUGAACUUAA